CUUGUACCGACUGGAUGAGCAGCGAACGGGUGAGUAACGCGUGGGGAAUCUGCCUUUGAGCGGGGGACAACAUUUGGAAACGAAUGCUAAUACCGCAUAAAAACUUUAAACACAAGUUUUAAGUUUGAAAGAUGCAAUUGCAUCACUCAAAGAUGAUCCCGCGUUGUAUUAGCUAGUUGGUGAGGUAAAGGCUCACCAAGGCGAUGAUACAUAGCCGACCUGAGAGGGUGAUCGGCCACAUUGGGACUGAGACACGGCCCAAACUCCUACGGGAGGCAGCAGUAGGGAAUCUUCGGCAAUGGACGAAAGUCUGACCGAGCAACGCCGCGUGAGUGAAGAAGGUUUUCGGAUCGUAAAACUCUGUUGGUAGAGAAGAACGUUGGUGAGAGUGGAAAGCUCAUCAAGUGACGGUAACUACCCAGAAAGGGACGGCUAACUACGUGCCAGCAGCCGCGGUAAUACGUAGGUCCCGAGCGUUGUCCGGAUUUAUUGGGCGUAAAGCGAGCGCAGGUGGUUUAUUAAGUCUGGUGUAAAAGGCAGUGGCUCAACCAUUGUAUGCAUUGGAAACUGGUAGACUUGAGUGCAGGAGAGGAGAGUGGAAUUCCAUGGG
rnacentral:rRNA from 1 species